CACGUUGACGGGCGCCGCGGGCCCCUUUUGGGCUACGCGCUCCGGCCCAGGCGGGCAGUGCCUGGGGAGAGGUAGAGAAGCGCCUAGACACGCAGCAGCGCUGUUUGCCGACUCAGGGCAUUUCCGCCGCACCGGGCUGCCCGUGGCUUAGGUCAGAAGAAGUAGCCAAACAGUCACUGCCCCUUGCCCUGGCACGGGUACUAGAAAUCGGGUGGGACAAGGUCAAUGAAAGUCACAUGCAGGUUGGAGUUCUGUUCUUGGCAUUUCUCCUGAAGUUGACGAGCUGCAAACACUGAAUCUAUGGUCCUGCAUCCUUUCCUGAAGCCACACACUCAGGUUCCACGCCCAGACACAUCGAAGGACAAGAUCUGCAGUGUGUGAGAAGAUCUGGCUUUCACUUCUCAACUGUGAAAUGGAUAAUGGAAGUUGUCACAGUUCAGAACAACUCUCACCUGUAUUUCCCCCUGGCAGUUCAGCAAGGGCACUCUAGGUUCCCAGCUCCUCAGAUGUCACCUCUUGGGAGUAGGGUGACCAGAUGUCCUGAUUUUAUAGGGGCUCUUUUCUUAUAGGGGCACCUAUUACCCCCCCAGUCCUGAUUUUUCACGCUUUCUAUCUGGUCACCCUACUUGAGAGAGACCUGUCUCUCCCUCUCCUGACCAGGGGUUUUCCUGUUCCCUGCCUACAGGGUGAAUUCCCCCAUGAGUCAGACUGCCUCAGCAGACCUGCAUCUAUAUUUUGCUUUCUCUUCAGAGGCUAUAAACAGCAUAACUGCCCACAAGUAUAAGUAUCACACAGCUCUUUCUAAACCAACACAUUUAUUUUUAAGGUGAAAGCAUUGCAGAGAGAACUUAUUAAAAGCAAUAAAAAAACCUACACACAUGCUAAUAAGCUUACCAGAGAUCACCCCAACUCCAACAAGGGCUCUAUCAGGUGGUCAGUCCUUCAGAAAAACCUCUUGGUGGGGUUUGUAGUUUCAAGUUCAACACCCCUUUUGUUAAGAGCAGGACUACCCCUGAAUAGGUCAAGUCCUUCCAAUUCUUCCCAGGAAGGAUUGGGGCCUCCCUUGGAUAGAAGGUUCUUUUUGUUUGCUUGAUCAGAAAGCAGGCCCUGAAUCAGUUUAACUCAGGCUAUUUAUCCAGAAGUCCUUUCUUUGUUGGUUGGUUCUCUAGGGAAUCCAGUUUGAACCAGUAUAUGUGAGUCACUGCAGGCGAUGGUGCCUCUCUGGAGGUGUUACAAGCCAAGUCAAUUUACUUACACAUUUCCCCCUGUUCUUAGCUCCUGGAAGGCUGUGGUCUCCCUUCCCCCAUGAAAAUGCAUACAGUACUUGGCCCACAGUGAUACGUAAAAUUAAUUAAAUGAGGUUUGUCCAGGAAAUUGCCAUCUCUGUCCCAAUACUAAUUUCCAGACGGAUAUAGUGAAAUACUGAGAUGUUGUGAGAUGUUGCCCAAGGUGUCACUGUAAGUAAGUGGCAAAGCCUGACUCUCUCUCCUACUCUAGCCACUAGGCAGCACUGCUUUAAAGUUACAAUUGGAGGAGGGAGAAAAUAAUCCUUCCCAAGUCACAUAAUUAUGCAUACAAUCAAAAGAGUGUGCUUUGCCAUAGUUAACUGUCAGCAUGCUACCUUUCCCAGGAGGGUUAUCUUAGUGUUACACACCCACGGAUCAUUCUCUUGCAGGCUAGUUUCCUGUUGUGGUGUCAGUAAUGAAAACUACACCUCUACCCCAAUAUAACAUGACCCGA